rnacentral:rRNA from 1 species
UACAGAGGGGGCAAGCGUUGUUCGGAAUUACUGGGCGUAAAGGGCGCGUAGGCGGCCUUCUAAGUCGGACGUGAAAUCCCCGGGCUCAACCCGGGAACUGCGUCCGAUACUGGAAGGCUUGAAUCCGGGAGAGGGAUGCGGAAUUCCUGGUGUAGCGGUGAAAUGCGCAGAUAUCAGGAGGAACACCAAUGGCGAAGGCAGCUCGCUGGAACGGUACUGACGCUGAGGCGCGAAAGCGUGGGGAGCAAACAGG